UCCACUGCAUGCAUCCGAUGAAGUGAGCUGUAGCUCAUGAAAGCUUAUGCUUAAAUAAAUUUGUUAUAUUCUAAGGUGCCACAAGUCCUCCUUUUUUGGGGAGUUAUUUGUGUAAAUCUCCCAUUAUUAGUGGGAGAAUUAAAACUGUUAGGCCUUAGCCAUAUCAGGUUUUCAACUAACAACGGAAACACCUAGAAUAGAUGCUGUUUACACCAGUGCAGCAUAAUUUGCACUCAUGGAAUUUACACUAGGGUACAAAUCAUUGUAUUGCACAAAUCAUGUUGCAUCAGUGUAAACCAAUUCUGUGUUAGGAAUUUGCACUGGUGCAGCUACAUCAGUGGAAGAAAUGCCAGUAUAAAUUUUACUGAACGCAGACCUAGGGGAAUAUCUAAACUAAUCUUAUUUUCUGAAGCGUUCUUAUGUUUCUAUAAGUGUAUCAUCCUAUAUGCAGCAUAUAUGUUCAGAUGUGCUGAACAAACUUGUGUCAAUUUUAUGGAUGCUGUAUGUGAAGCAUGUUAUUCAAGUGUAAAUAUUUGGUGCAAGUAAGUAUUUACUAAUACAGGAAAACAGGUGAGUGAGAAAGUAAACAGCACUCAGUAAUAAAAAUAAAUAUAUACAAAAACGUAUUCUUCACUAGCCUGCCAAUAGGUCAGAGGGCCAAAGAAAGUUCUCCCAUUUUCAAUUUAGGGCCAGAUUCUAAUACCCUUACUCAUGAUAACUAGUACCUUAAUAAGCAACUCGUCUCACUGAAGUCUGCUAUUACUUUUGGAGUAAGGUACUAAAUGUAUGACAAAACAAACUGUGGCAUUAUAAAAUUCCUUCCCAUUCCUUUUCUAAUCAGAGACCAAAGCCUUAAAGAAGGGGAUCUUUAUUUGAAGAAGACAUAGUUUCAUCUCCUUCAGAGCCUGGCCCCAUACUAACAUUCACUAUGGAAGAAAUAUACACUUGAAAAUGUAUUUAAUUAAAACAUUAUCUUUCUCUUCUCUUUAACCCCUUUAGCUGAUAUCACAUCGAGUCCCAAGCAUUUAUAGUAUCCAACAAAACGAAGUAAUAAGACACUAAAGUAGAAUUGCCACCUCUGGAAAAUCUUAAGUCCACAUACGGCACAUCAUAAGCUGUGGUUCCAUUAUUAAGCGUUUGAAGAAAAGAGAGUCUACUUAUACUGGGCUGCAUCACAUCAGAGGAUCAGGGUUUAUGGUCUUAAUCCUACAAUGUUUUGCACUGGCACAGCUUUGCAAUGUCUCAUUGAAGUAAAUGGGACACCAUACAGACACAAGGAUCUGAGCAAGCUGAUCUUUUGGUGCUAAUUUGGUUUAUGAAAAUAUAAAAGAUGGAUGGCUUGAUUAAGCUGUUAAUGGCUGUAUUGGUCAACAUCACUUUGUCUUUAAGCUAGUGAACCAUAUAUUUUUCAACAUUUAAAAAAAUACGCUACCAGUAGUAUUAGAGCGGUCUUGAAUUUCCUGCAGCCCAGUUCUGGGAAAAAAAGAUAGUUCUCAUUCAAAUGGACACAGUUCUGAUUUAUUUUACCUGAAGGUGCUAAGAGUAAGUAAAACAGUGUGACUGUUAAGACUGUUUUGGGACAAAAAUAAUGUAACUGGGUUGUUUUGUGGUUCACACUAGUGCUAUAGGCUUGGAUCCAGAAUUAUUCAAGUAGGCUGUGGACACUGUAUCCAAUUCCAUAAAGGCAGAGUAAAGCGUAGUGAGUUGUAAGUCAGGUAAGCUGCUAUGCGGAUUGCUAUUCUGGGUGGUGAGGUUAUUGCUGCUGUUACUAUCCAUCUGAUAGUGAGAAGGGAAGCACUGAGAGGAUAUUGGGGAUGUUGAAAUGAGAACCAAGGGAUCCACAGCCAGGCUGUCAUCUUUCAGUUCUUCCCAAAGAUUUCCUAUAACAAAAAACAAAACCAACACACUGAUGUAGUCUUUGGCUUUCGUGUGUGUGUGUGUGUGUUUGCUUUUGUUUCUUUUUCUUUUAAGAGUGAGUCCACUCUUGGUGCAUCAUGUCUACUGCUGAGCACUUGUGAGAUAAAACAGACAGCAAGAACUGUUUUACAUCAUCAGCUGACAAAUUCACAUUCAGCGGCAUGUAUACUUUCAUUUAAAACGCAUUUCUAGCACAUAUUGUCACGAACAUGCCUUUGAAAAUGUGAACUGAUGAAUUUUCAACUAUACCUAGCAACAGCUUUUAAAAGUGCAAACUGCCCCCCCCAUUCAUCUCAGCAGGGUGUUGAUUUUUCAACUAAUGAUGAUGCUUUGAGUAUGUCUACACUUUAAGAUUUGGGGUGUGAUUCCUAGCUUGAGGAGACAUACAUUAGCUCUAAUGAAACUAAGGCUUGGUCUACGCUAGCAACUUUUGUCGGUAUAACUAUGUCGCCUGGGAUGUGGAAAACCACAUCCUUGAGUGACAACAUAGUUCUACUGACCUAUAGACAGUGUUACGCCAAUGGGAGGUUGAUUACCUAUGCCAGUGGGAGAAGCCCUCUCAUUGGCUUAGGUAGCAUCUUCACUUGCGCCACUGCAGCCUUGUAAGUGUAGAUAGGCCCUUAAAAUCAGGUGUAGCUGCAGCCUGGCAAGUGAUGGGAAGAGCUAGCAUGGGUGGAAAUCAUGCCCUCAGCUCAGUGUAGACAAAACUGCAGUGGGACAGACUUUCAGAUAAUGUUGGUGCACAAUUGUGUGCUUAAUCUGCACAUGGAGUUUACUGCAGUUAUGUGGUCAAAUCAAGUAACGGCAUGUAUAAAUGGUCAAAUAAGCAAACUUCAGAAAUGCUUCUUGUCCUGAAGAUGUACACUGCCAUUUCUCACUGAAUGAUGCAGAACACAAAGGUGACACUAACUAGAAGUUUAGCUACUGCAUGAGGGCCACAUUCUCUGCUCACUUUUUGUGGGAGACUUUCUGUGGAUAUGGGGGAGCGUAUCUCCCUAAACUUGUAAGCACGGUUUAUGCAUCAUAAUGUGAAAUAUAAUUUACCCCUCUUCCUAGAAUAAGUUUGACAUACUGCAUGUAAAUGAAGACAGAAUUUGCCUUAAGUUUGUGAGAUGUUUGACAACUUAACAAGUCCCAUUUAUUAGACAGUGAACCCCAAACCCAAGGCCAGAUCAUUUUGUAGAAUAAAACAGGCCAUAGAGUAGAGAAAGGGAAGUAAUUUAAGAUGGAAUGGCUGAAAAAUCUGUGCAACAGCAGGGCUGGUGCUUGGUGGCAUCAUGCCAGGGGGGUCAGAGGUACAGAGUGCAGGGAACACAAAUAUGUGCAUACACAAAAUAAGAUAUUUAGAAAGGUUGAGGAGCCAAGAGAGAGGCAUGAACUGUUGAAUUUUGUAUUUGGAAAGGUGCAGAAUGGUGCACUUAAAAAUCCACCUUUUAGUCAUCAGCAACUAAAGGAGAAAUCUAUACCCUACAGGGUUUUUUGACCAUUUGGAGAUGGUCUGGCAGCUUCUGAUACCAUUGUUCCCUGUUCCCUUAGAUCUUGUUGUCAAUGGAGCUGGAACAAUAUUUUGCACCAGUGCCUUGCCGUAAUAAUGAUGUGCACUCAACCCUAUUGGAUCCACAGGCUUGCACUGUGCCUCUUCCAUUUCUACUGCUGCAUUCUGUUUUUGUUGUAUUUCCAUGAGGAUGUUUGGUAUGCCUCUUGUCCCCUGCAGCUGGGCAAAACCUACCCUUCCUAUGGCAUGAUCCAGCAGGAGCUGUACAGCCUCUAAGCUGGAGAUUUUUCACCUAACUUUGGCUCUUCCACUGAUCAUUAUUUUUGCAGUGGCAGGGUGAUUUGGGCCUUGAGCACUAUAUCUAGUCCAAGGAAGAUUUGUUUGGCUGAGAACAGGAGCUCUGAUGUCUGCAAUACACAAUCAUUUCAGCAAACUUUACCAAGUGUAGGAGGUCAGUGAAGUGAUCACUCAAACAUCUGUGGUAAAUUGUAUACAGAGUAAGUUGCAUUUUUUUUAAAUUUUUUUUAGCAAAAAACUGGAAGAGGAUUGUAACAAUAAUGGUGAAUGCAACCAAAAAUUAUGUACCAUGCACUCAAAUAAAAACAUGUUUUCUUGUUCUCAUG